GAGUUUGAUCAUGGCUCAGAUUGAACGCUGGCGGCAUGCCUUACACAUGCAAGUCGAACGGCAGCACGGGAGCUUGCUCCUGGUGGCGAGUGGCGAACGGGUGAGUAAUGCAUCGGAACGUAUCCUGGAGUGGGGGAUAACGUAGCGAAAGUUACGCUAAUACCGCAUAUUCUGUGAGCAGGAAAGCGGGGGACCUUCGGGCCUCGCGCUCUUGGAGCGGCCGAUGUCGGAUUAGCUAGUUGGUGAGGUAAAGGCUCACCAAGGCGACGAUCCGUAGCAGGUCUGAGAGGAUGAUCUGCCACACUGGAACUGAGACACGGUCCAGACUCCUACGGGAGGCAGCAGUCGGGGAAUUUUGGACAAUGGGGGCAACCCUGAUCCAGCCAUGCCGCGUGAGUGAAGAAGGCC
rnacentral:rRNA from 1 species